rnacentral:rRNA from 1 species
UAGGGAAUCUUCCACAAUGGACGCAAGUCUGAUGGAGCAACGCCGCGUGAGUGAAGAAGGUCUUCGGAUCGUAAAGCUCUGUUGUUGGUGAAGAAGGAUAGAGGCAGUAACUGGUCUUUAUUUGACGGUAAUCAACCAGAAAGUCACGGCUAACUACGUGCCAGCAGCCGCGGUAAUACGUAGGUGGCAAGCGUUGUCCGGAUUUAUUGGGCGUAAAGCGAGCGCAGGCGGAAUGAUAAGUCUGAUGUGAAAGCCCACGGCUCAACCGUGGAACUGCAUCGGAAACUGUCAUUCUUGAGUGCAGAAGAGGAGAGUGGAACUCCAUGUGUAGCGGUGGAAUGCGUAGAUAUAUGGAAGAACACCAGUGGCGAAGGCGGCUCUCUGGUCUGCAACUGACGCUGAGGCUCGAAAGCAUGGGUAGCGAACAG